GGUGGCUCAGAGGUAGAGUGUUUGCCUUGCAUGCAUGAGUCUCUGGGUUCAAUUUCUCAGCACCA
rnacentral:tRNA from 1 species